rnacentral:rRNA from 1 species
CCCUUAGAUGUUCUGGGCCGCACGCGCGCUACACUGAUGCAUUCAACGAGUUACCUUGGCCGAGAGGCCUGGGCAAUCUUUUGAACGUGCAUCGUGAUAGGGAUAGAUUAUUGCAAUUAUUAAUCUUGAACGAGGAAUUCCUAGUAAACGCAGUUCAUCAAACUGCAUUGAUUACGUCCCUGCCCUUUGUACACACCGCCCGUCGCUCCUACCGAUUGAGUGGUCCGGUGAGGCUUUGGGAUCUGAGCGGAAAGAGCGUUUCGCUGUUUCUGCUCGGAAAACUCAGUCGAACCUUAUCAUUUAGAGGAAGGAGAAGUCGUAACA